GAUGAACGCUAGCGACAGGCUUAACACAUGCAAGUCGAGGGGCAGCGAGGGCGUAGCAAUACGCCUGUCGGCGACCGGCGCACUGGUGAGUAACACGUAUGCGACCUGCCCCCUACAGGGGUAUAACCCGUAGAAAUGCGGACUAAUCCCCCCAUAGUCCCGCGGGCUGCAUGGCCUGCGGGGAAAGGGUUUCCGGUAGGGGAUGGGCAUGCGGCGCAUUAGCUAGUUGGCGGGGCAACGGCCCACCAAGGCGACGAUGCGUAGGGGUUCUGAGAGGAAGGUCCCCCACACUGGUACUGAGACACGGACCAGACUCCUACGGGAGGCAGCAGUGAGGAAUAUUGGUCAAUGGGCGCAGGCCUGAACCAGCCAAGUCGCGUGAGGGAGGACGGUCCUACGGAUUGUAAACCUCUUUUGUCGGGGAGUAACGUGCGGGACGGGUCCCGUAUUGAGAGUACCCGAAGAAAAAGCAUCGGCUAACUCCGUG
rnacentral:rRNA from 1 species